rnacentral:tRNA from 1 species
UGGUUCCGCCCGGGAUCGAACCGGGGACCUUUCGCGUGUAAAGGGAACGUGAUAACCACUACACUACGGAACC